CAGUAGCCGCGGUAAUACGAAGGGGGCUAGCGUUGCUCGGAAUCACUGGGCGUAAAGGGUGCGUAGGCGGGUCUUUAAGUCAGGGGUGAAAUCCUGGAGCUCAACUCCAGAACUGCCUUUGAUACUGAAGAUCUUGAGUUCGGGAGAGGUGAGUGGAACUGCGAGUGUAGAGGUGAAAUUCGUAGAUAUUCGCAAGAACACCAGUGGCGAAAGCGGCUCUCUGGCUUGUAACUGACGCUGAGGCUCGAAAGCGUGGGGAGCAAACAGGAUUAGAUACCCGUGUAGUCCCUGUCUCUUAUAC
rnacentral:rRNA from 1 species